AUGAGCUUCAGAGACUCUCCUGGUAACAUACUUCUUGUAGCUCAUCUGAUAUUAAUUCCUUUGUAUUAAAUAAUUAUUUCUAUACCUUAAAAGUACCCCUGAAACACUGGCCUCUGCUGCAUUUGGUAUCAUCUUGUUGAUUACUCAAGGAUAGGAUAACUAGCAACUGGUCUGAAUGUGAGGACAUCAGCCAGCAUGCAGAAAGGAGGUAGUGAUUGUUCUGAAGGAUCUGGAGAGAGAACUUGAUGAGCCAGGAUAGCAGAUGAGAAGACUGAUGUAGGACUCUGUGUGUGUGUUUCACACAAAAUGAAAGUCACAGCUGAUCUUCUUGGGCAGGAAGGGCAAAAAACAGUUUUGAACUGUUGUCUCCGAACAGUUCAGAAAUCCCUGAAGUUUCAACUCUAGACCCAUGAACCCCACUUCCUUUAAGAGGCUAGUGAGGCCACAGGCUGCCUCUGGGAGCUCACAUCUUCUAGAAAGCCUCAGCUGAUCUCAGUUGGAGUUGAGCUACUCUGCAGAUGUGAGUCAAAUAGAAAGCCUCCAUCUUCCCCUUCCUUUCUGCUCCACAUCUGGGAAAGCUCAUAAGAAAGCCAAGUGCUUCCUUACUUGGCAUCUGAAGGAAGUUCAAGCCGUGCAAGCCCUGGCCUAGCUGUGCCUGAGAACUAUUCUCUGGACCCAUCAUCUAAGCACAAUGAAAACCAGGACAACUAGCUCUCACUCCCUCUUAAGCUACUCAAGAGAUUCUGGACCAGCUUGGGUGCUGCCCUGCUAUCCCAAGAAAAUUUCAUGAUUGCCUAGAAUUGUGCCUGCCAAAAAGAGCACCCUCAAAUUUGGAUGGAGGACAGCAAGCAGCUGGUGGUGAUGGUGUGAAAUGAAAAAGGCAACUUCAAAGCAGAACUGCCCAAUACAGUAGCCGUUAGGCACAUGUGAUUAUUGAGCAUUUGAAAUAUGGCUCCUCUGAACUGAGAUGGGCUGUAAGUGCAAAAUACACACUGGAUUUUGUAGACAGUACUUUUUUUAAAAAAGAAUGUAAAAUAUCUUAAUAAUGUUUUAUAUUGAUUACAUGUUAAAAUGAUAAUAUUUUGGAUCUAUUGGUUUAAACGAAAUAUAUUUUUUUCAUUAGUUUUUAUCUGUUUCUUUUUACCUUUUUCAAUAUGGCUACCAGAAAAUAUAAAUUGUGGCUGGUAUUCUAUUUUUGUUGGAAAGCACUGUUCUUCAACAGUUCUAGAGAAACCUGGUAAUGGGCCAAGGAGGUUCACGGUAGCAGAUGACAGUGUUGGUCCAUGGUGGCUCAGGUGCGAAGGGGCGUCAGGAGCAGAGAGGACUCAUCUCUCGAUGGAAACUGAAGUCCUGAACUCUAGGCAGCCACGUCGCGGGAAGGGACCCUGGAGAGGGGCUUUGAGCAGGGACAUCUCCACCUCACAGCUUAGUAGACGGUCAAAUUGCAUGGUUCCCCUCAGGAGCCUGUUUCCUUUCCUGGGAGCCAGGUCCUUUUCUAUCUUCCAAUGAGCCUGGCAUUUGGGAAACUCAGAGCUGCCAACGUAACAGGACUGAGUGGGCCUCACACCUCCUGCUUCUUUGACAC
ensembl:lncRNA